AAUCCCCAAUUUUACCCGAAAUCCUUUAUUUUUUUCCCCAUUUGAUUUUCCCCAAUUUUGCCCGAAAUCCCUAAAAUUUUUUCUAUUCCUCUGCAUCAUCGUGAUGCAUCUCCGUCGGUAGUCUCUUUCAUUUCUUCAACUUAUUGUUUGUCCUAUUUCUCCUUUUGCUUCCAACCAAAACGAAACUUAGUGACAGCAUUUCUAACUUCUUCUUCUAGUUUUUCUUUUGAUGUCAUAAGAAAACCUAGCAAUAUCUUUCUGUACAUAUAGAAUUAUAUGGUUCAUUCCACAGUUUAGCUCCUGUCUUUAGAACUUAGUUCUCAUAUAUCCUUCACCCCAUUUUCUGUGAAUUUUUAUUGUCUCAGGUUAUUUUGUCUUAUUCAUGCUGAGAAGCUGGUCUCUGUUUAUUGAGGUGUUGGUUUGAUAGGAAAAAGCUCCUGAGCAGUUUAAGAUUGUUAUACCAAGAAUUCCUGUAUAUUUUACGGCCAGGAAGAAACAAGUAAUAUAGUUGAUUACGGUUAUCUCACUAUCUGUUCUUUUCAAUUUUGGAAAUUAGGAGAAGGUUGUGAAUCCAUUGUUUGAGAAGUGUCCAAAGCAAUUCGGUAUUGGAGGAGCUUUACCUCCAAAGAAGGAUCUGCACCAUUUUGUGAAGUGACCUAAGGUUGUUCGCAUUCAAAGGAAAAAGAGGAUCCUUAAGCAGUGGUUGAAAGUCCUACCAGCACUGAAGCAGUUUACAAAGACUCUUGAUAAAAACCUUGGUGCAUGCUGUUGGGGCACUACCUUAGAGGCCUCGAGUAUCAGUUGGAGCUAAUGGAGCUUUUGUUGUUGACAAGCAGUCCCGGCAAUAAUAGUUGUGGUGAUGAGCAAGUUGUUUAGAAUUGCUCUCUGAUUCCAGUGCUACCAUCUGUAUAUAUGUGUGUAAAUCGGCAUAUUGCCUAACUUCUUUUACUGGAAGAGGCAGUUAUCCGCGGACUACUUUUAUCAACUUUGGAUGAUCCUAAUAGAAAACUUUGCACAGCAAUCAGUAUGGCUGUAGUAGCUAUUACAGUCUACGACUGGCCAGAAAGUUGGCCAGACUUGUUGCCGUUCCUCCUAAAGUUGAUUGGUGAUCAAACUAGCAUGACUGCAGGAGUUGAGAAGGAAAGAGGAUGCAAUAGCAUGAGGUGACCAAGAUUCCGUUUAACAACUUUCUUUAUUGCUGGAACAAGUCUUAACCAAGAUCAAGAUCAAAGUACUUCACUAAGUUAUAUAUGCAGGCACUGCAAUACUUUGGCUUCAUGUAAGCUUGAACCAGCCCUCUGUUGUAUAUUGUUUCUUCUUCCUUUUUGAUCUUUUUCCUUUGAUUAAUGAGAGGUGAUGAUGAUUUGGCAUUAUUUUCUCACCAGGAUGAAUUUUGUUUUAGAAAUUGUAAAUACUUUGUGUGUCUGUGUGUGUGUUUUUUUAUGUAUUAAAUUUAAAUUCAUUAAUUUUUAUAUUUAGUUUUGGAGUUUAAAUUUUAAUGGAAAAUUUAAUUUAAUUAA